rnacentral:rRNA from 1 species
AUGUCAACUCUGUUGUGUGUCAGGCUCAGCGAUGCCAGCCUCUGCCCCCUCCCCAAACGAUAUGGUCUGCUUCAGUUCACGCAGUGUCUAGGUGAAGAAUUUGUGGCCAGCAACGAAAAGAUGUCUCUUGAAAAUCUAGGAGAGGGGAGGCGGCCAAUGACAGGGAGAAGGAGCAGGCUGUCGAGGAGUGCAAGCAAAAGAAUAAAUAGCACGGAGAACAUAUUAGUGCUAUAUGUGUGUCUAAGGUCUCCAAGAGAUGCAGUCAUAGACAGUGACUGGUCCCUGAAGUUUGGGACGUUAAGGAUAAAAGCAAGCAGUUUUCAGAAACUUUUAGUUGUGGCUCAUGCGUUGGAGCAACUGGGAAAUCAUUGA